ensembl:lncRNA
UCGAUAGGAUGCAUGGAACUGGUCGAUAGGAUGCAUGGAACUGGUCGAUAGGAUGCAUGGAACUGGUCGAUUGGAUGCAUGGACCUCAGGUCGAUAGGAUGCAUGGACCUGGUCGAUAGGAUGCAUGGACCUGGUCGAUAGGAUGCAUGGACCUCAGGUCGAUAGGAUGCAUGGAACUGGUCGAUAGGAUGCAUGGACCUCAGGUCGAUAGGAUGCAUGGAACUGGUCGAUAGGAUGCAUGGACCUCAGGUCGAUAGGAUGCAUGGAACUGGUCGAUAGGAUGCAUGGAACUGGUCGAUAGGAUGCAUGGACCUCAGGUCGAUAGGAUGCAUGGAACUGGUCGAUAGGAUGCAUGGAACUGGUCGAUAGGAUGCAUGGAACUGGUCGAUAGGAUGCAUGGAACUGGUCGAUAGGAUGCAUGGAACUGGUCGAUAGGAUGCAUGGAACUGGUCGAUUGGAUGCAUGGACCUCAGGUCGAUAGGAUGCAUGGACCUGGUCGAUAGGAUGCAUGGACCUGGUCGAUAGGAUGCAUGGACCUCAGGUCGAUAGGAUGCAUGGAACUGGUCGAUAGGAUGCAUGGACCUCAGGUCGAUAGGAUGCAUGGACCUCAGGUCGAUAGGAUGCAUGGACCUCAGGUCGAUAGGAUGCAUGGACCUCAGGUCGAUAGGAUGCAUGGACCUCAGGUCGAUAGGAUGCAUG